GUUGGAACGAAGCUCACCUUCGACGGUUCAGGUGAGGGUUUAGAAAAGUGCACGUUUUUAUUUUAAAUUAUUCGAGUUAAAUAUUGGAAGUCUAUCCAAUGACUAAGUUAUGGAGCCUGGACAUGAGAUAUCAGUUGUGGAAACUAAACGUCAUACGGAUUGUCUUACGUGACGUGGUCAUUGGAAGGAGGAGGACUGUAUUUAAGGCGGAACGCAGAUGCUUCCAGUUCACUUUGCAGCGAAGCAGCAACACAUGGAUCUGUAAGCAACAUGGGAUUAUUUUUUUGUAAAGUAAAAGGAAGUGAUCGGAAUAUGUAUCAACAAGAAACUAACUGUGCUGCUGUGGGUGGAGUCGACCUGCCUCCAGACACUAAGUGUCAUGCUGUGGGUGGAGUCGAUCUGCCUCCAGACACUAAGUGUCAUGCUGUGGGUGGAGUCGAUCUGCCUCCAGACACUAAGUGUCAUGCUGUGGGUGGAGUCGAUCUGCCUCCAGACACAGAGUGCCAGGCCAUUGGUGGAGUCGACUUGCCUCCAGAUGAUAUCCAACAUUUGGACACUGAGCACAGUGCUCUAGGUGGAAUAGAUGAAUAUCCCAAAUCCACUCAGAAAGUGGGAUAGAUCCACCUCCCAUAUCAGAUCUGCCAGGUCUGAAAGGACAGAUAAAGAAGAACUACAAGAAGUUAUCAUUCUGACUCCCUGGGAUUCAGAGGAAAUACACUUUGGUGAUGCCUUUCUCAAGAAAAAUAAAAAUGUAUAAUAAUAGAUCCUUUGAUCAGUUUUAGUUUACUAAUUGUUAAUGUCUGUGAACUAUUGAAAUCUCAUAUUUUGUAAAUAGAUGUAUAUUUCCUUUGAAACAUGUUUUUAUACUUAAUCUGAGAAUUAUAUAAUGCAUUGAGUCUUUAAAAAUAUUAAAAGAUUUUCACACAAGUCUGUAGUUGUCCUACUGGAAAAUAAAAAAGUAAGUGAGGGAGAUUAUUCUGUGGAUGUUUUUAAAGCUAGUUGUCCACUACACUUAUAGUUUUUUUUGCUUUUUAUGUUUUUAAUUUGCAUUGUUUCAUUUUAGGUUUUGUCCCCUUGUAUUUGUUCAGUCCUUUGUUUGAAUUUGUUUCAUAAAUAAGGUUUAAGGAACAUAAAAUUAAAAAUUGUUCUAUGUCUCUC